AAUCUUUUGUGAAUUCGGAUUGAGGUAGUAGGUUGUAUAGUUGAGAAUUACACCUAGACUGGCGAACUGUACAACCUUCUAGCUUUCCCUGAGUCACAAAC
rnacentral:pre_miRNA from 1 species